GAUUUCUUCAUUUCCAGAGCAAAAUCUUGCAAUCCAGUCGUGCAAAGUGCACAUGUGAAUGUGAUGAUUCGUGUUGGACAGAAGGAAGAAAAACUAGUUGUUCUUUUGUGUUUAUUACAUUUUGUUCAUUUUUUUUUUGUGAUAAAUAAUGACGGCUUCUACGGUAGACCACUUUUAUAAGUGGUCCACCUAGAACAAAUAAUAGUGGCUCUUGGAUUAAUUUAAGGUGCAGAGUCAUAUUAUACACCCUCCAUACUAAAAGCUUUACCGUUCUUACUCUUCCUCCUUCUCUGGCAGACCCUUUUCCGUUUCUGGCUGCUCUUCCACUGCCUCCAAAGGCUCCGUCCAGAUGCACCCACCAUCGUCCCAAAUGCUGCAGGAAGUGCUCCUCCCCCAAAAUCAGAUCCAAACUUGUUUGAGAUAAAACAUAAUAACAAAUCAGGUCCACAAAAACAAUCUUGGAACUCAUAUGGAGCCAUACUCACAAAUCAAAAUCAAGAUUCAAACCCACAAAAUCAAGAUUCAACCCAAAUCAAAAUUGUUAGAUAGUGGAAUCAAAAAUUGCAAAACGAAGACAUCAUUGUCCUGAAAAAAUACAGUUAAAAGAUUACAGUAAAAAUAACUGAUUUACGAUUUAGCACAAAAAAAAUUGAUUUCUUUUUCAAUCACUCCUUGGACAUCAUAGGGAGUUCUACGAUAGCCUCGACAUCGUCGGGCUUUGGUUGUCGCGUUGGCUAGAGAGAAUGACGAGGUCAACGAUGUUAGGAAGUGAGGAGGUGCCGAAGAUGAGGAAGAAGACCUAAGGGAGAAGGAAUUUUGUGUGAAAUGUGCACCAUACUAACAAAAGAACGAGAUUAAUCCAAUGGCUGUUAAAUGUGAUUCAUCAGAGACCACUUGUCUUUCUGGUCCACGCUAG
rnacentral:lncRNA from 1 species